CUACGGAGGGUGCAAGCGUUAAUCGGAAUUACUGGGCGUAAAGCGCGCGUAGGCGGACUGAUCAGUUGGGGGUGAAAUCCCAGGGCUUAACCCUGGAGCUGCCUCCAAUACUGUCAGUCUUGAGUUCGGGAGAGGUGAGUGGAAUUCCUAGUGUAGAGGUGAAAUUCGUAGAUAUUAGGAAGAACACCAGUGGCGAAGGCGGCUCACUGGCCCGAUACUGACGCUGAGGCGCGAAAGCGUGGGGAGCAAACAGGAUUAGAAACCCGAGUAGUCC
rnacentral:rRNA from 1 species